AGAUACUGAGGUGUCCUGUGUUUUUAUGGACCUGUCAACUCAGUAAUGCUGAGGAGACGCUGAUAAGUGAGACCUCUGUGAAGAUCAGUGGAGGGAAUUCAGUCAAUGGAGGAAGAAAGAGAAGUUCAUCGGUUGGAGCUGUUUUGGUUGCAGCAGCAGCAGUCGCUCUGUUCAGAUAAAAGAUGCAUUGAACUUGAAGAUAUAAAUGCAGGAACACACUGACGGCAAAACAAGAUUGAUGAGUUUGUUACAGAAAGACUGACGAGGAGCUUAAAUAUGUUUUGGACACGAACACAUUGCUAUUUGUCAGAAGAAUUAUGUUUGAAAUAUUUAUAGUAUUUAUGUUAGAAGAAAUAUACUUAGGAUACUUGGAAUAGAAUACUUGCUUUUAGAUGAUCAUUAAUUUAUCACUGAGUGACUGUGAAACAUGUGUGCCUUUUGAACCAUGACUCUGUAUAUAUUUUAAACCAUGAUUCUACGUGUGCUUUAUGGCAGAAACAUGUAAACACAGCACAUACCGAGAGGUGACCAGAACUAGGCCUUCUAGGUGAUGAAGAUAAAGAAAGUACACACAAAUACCACAUGUCUGCCUCUGAAGGUCUUUCUGUUAAUAUCUUACUGCUUGUGAAGAAGGUUUUUCCAUUGUCAUCUCAUGCUGAGUCAUGGUACCAUCCUCUGUGUUACAUUCCUGUCUGAAGCAAAUAAAAAAGACGCAGGGGUGACACAGGCUCUUUGGAGUUGGGUGGCUGAUGCUACAGCCCGUCUCUCUCUC